GUGGUACUUUUAGCCUUUGUCUCUUUUAUACUGCCGUGCAUUCUCUGUCUCUCAUUCAGCGGCUUUCAUUAUACUGACAAAUUAAAUAAAGCGCUCCAUUGCUAAAGAGGCUUGGACAGUCAGGGAGUCACUAGUCGGCUACAGACAAGUAGAACGCAAACAUUUGCUCGGUGUGCCAGCAAGUUUGCACUUUGCGAGAGCCGAGUGGAAUGCCGGGGAUCAGGGUGGCAUGAGACGGCGUUCUUCAGCCGGCGGAUGGGAGCGGCGUGCGGGCGGGCGGGACUCUGGACGGCCCCCUCCAAGAGAGUUACAUUAGCCUGAGACCAAAGCCUGGACUGGGAGUUGUGCUGCAUUCUCCAUCAGAUAUUAAAAACAGCAGUGACCAUAGCACUGACCCCUGCUGGUC